rnacentral:rRNA from 1 species
GACAGAGGGCGCAAGCGUUAGGCGGAAUCACUGGGCUUAAAGCGUGUGUAGGCGGAUCGUUAAGUGUCUUGUGAAAUCCCACGGCUCACCCGUGGAACUGCUGGGCAUACUGGCGAUCUUGGGCCAACUAGGGGCAGCCGGAACAAGCGGUGGAGCGGUGAAAUGCGUAGAUAUCGCUUGGAACGCCGAAGGUGAAAACAGGCUGCUGGGGUUGCGCCGACGCUGAGACGCGAAAGCCAGGGGAGCAAACGGG